rnacentral:rRNA from 1 species
AUUGAACGCUGGCGGCAGGCCUAACACAUGCAAGUCGAACGAGUGGCGGACGGGUGAGUCAUGUCUGGGAAACUGCCCGAUGGAGGGGGAUAACUACUGGAAACGGUAGCUAAUACCGCAUACCAUCGGAUGUGCCCAGAGGGGAUUAGCGAGUAGGUGGGGUAAAGGCUCACCUAGGCGACGAUCCCUAGCUGGUCUGAGAGGAUGACCAGCCACACGUGAACUGAGACACGGUCCAGACUCCUACGGGAGGCAGCCUUGGGGAAUAUUGCAGAAUGGGCGCAAGCCUGAUGCCGCCAUGCCGCAUGUAUGAAGAAGGCCUCCGGGUUGUAGAGUGCUUUCAGCAAGAAGGCGGUACUCGCAGAAGAAGCACCGGCUAACUCCGUGCCAGCAGCCGCGGUAAUAC